rnacentral:lncRNA from 1 species
UAGGAUUUGAUUUUAACAAACCUUUCUGGAAAGCAUGAAGUCAUUAUAUUGUUCUCUAUCUAUUUAGAAAUAUAAGAGAAUAGCAUAAUUUUUCUUUUGCUAAAAUCGGGGUCUCUAUUGCAGUGAGGCACACUUGCAAACAUAAGCAGCACCAUUUCCACUAAUCCAGCGUUAUUCACAAUUCUUGAGAUGUAUGAUGAUCACUGAGGUUUUAUGACUUUAUAUACUUAUUAAGGUUACUUAUGGCUAAGUUUUUUCUUUAAAACAUCAGUUCAGCGAGUUUUUUUUUGUUUGUUUUUUGUUUUUUUGAGACAGGGUCUCAUUCCAUCACCUAGGCUGGAGUGCAGUGGCCCCAUCUCGGCUCAUUGCAUCCUCUGCCUCCCAGGUUCAAGUGAUUCCUAUUCCUUUCAAGUGAUUCUCCUGAGGAACUAGAAUUACAGGAGAAGAUAUUGCACAAUUCUACUCCCCUGAUCAAUUUUCGCCACUCCUCAAUCCCAUUACAUAUAUUAUGAGGGAUGUUUUAAUGUUAAGGUCUAGUAUAAUGUCAACAUUUGAAAGUUUAUAAUUAUGUAUGAAUACACUCCUGGAAAAAUCACUGAGAAAACCCAUAAAACAUAAACUACUUGACAUUUUAAAUAAUUUUCCAAGCCAAUCACUUUACAUUUUCCAAAUCAGUGAAUGCAUAAGGAUUAAAAAUCCUGAUUUUUUUUCUUGAACAAUUAGAAGACAUAUACUAAAAUAAAUAAGUACAAGCACAAAUUCAGGAGUAUAGAGCUAAUUUUUUUAGGCUUUUUAUGCAUUGUUGAUUUUCUUGUGUGUGUGUUUCACAGUGAAUUUUUCAAGAUGAAAGAUUUUUACUGAAUAUAAAAAAAAUUUUCCCAAGUUACAAGGAUUUUCCAAAUGAACUUUAAACCAGGAUUUUGUGCUAGUAUGAGGACAACCUCGAGAGUAGUUAUCUGUAAUCCAUCAAUAAGUAAUAGUGUAAAUGUAAACACCAUGAACUCUGGAGACAGCCUGAGAGGGUUUUACUGUUGCUCUACUACUGUUAACUGUGCAAAUAUCAGCAAGUUAGGUGACAUUUCUACACCUUAAUUUUCUCAUCUGCAAAAUGGGGAUUAAAUAUAAGUACCUACCUCAUUGCUUAUUGUGAGAAUUAAAUGAGUGUUCAUGUGUAAAGUGCUUAACAAGGAACUUGAUGUUUACUAGUACUAUUUAUAAAGAAUAUUAAAAAUGAAUUGUGAAGUAGAAAAACAAGUGGAAUUUAAAUUUUUAAGUUUUGGAAAUAUUAAAAUUAUAUUAAUUGUAUAUUUUCAUUAACCAUCUGAACAUGAACUUUUUUCCUACACAAUAUAUAUGCUUCAAAAUAUUUUAUAUUCAAUAGAUUUAAUUAUAGAAUGAUCUUUAAUGUAAUGCUACUAGAAAACACUACAAAAAUACGAUCAUUAUGAGUUUGACUUCUCUUUUUAUUUUACUGAGGUAUAAUUAACAAAUAAAAAUUGUGUAUAUUCAUGGAAUACCACACAAUGUUUUUAUAUACAUACACAUUGUAAAAUGAUGACCAUGAUCAAGCUAAUUAACAUUUACAUCAUUUGUGUGUAUAGAGAGAAAACAUGUAAGGAAAAAGCAAUUUAUUAAAUUGAAAAAUAUUUCAUGAAAUGGUUUGAAACAUAAAUUAAUGCAAACACUAUUAUGACGAGAAAAAAAUAAAAUGACUUCUUUUUACUCUUGUAAUCUUAGUCAAUGUCUGAAACAAAACAAUAAAUUAUACAGGAAGACUAUCACCUUCAAUAUUUAUCAUUUCUUUAUGUUGAGAGCAUUUGGAAUCUUCUAGUUAUUUUGGAAAAAGAAUAAAUCAUUAUCAACUAUAGCUACCUACUAUGCUAUUAAACACUAGAACGUACUCCAUGUUUGUACCCAUUUAACAAUCCCUUUUUAUACUCAUCUUUCUACUAUCCUUCCCCACUUCUGGUAACCACCAUUCUAUUCACUAGCGUCAAGAGAUUUUUUUUUUAAUUCCCAUGUGUGAGUGACCACAAGUAUUACGUAUU